UACAGAGGGUGCGAGCGUUAAUCGGAAUUACUGGGCGUAAAGCGCACGUAGUCGGCUUUGCAAGUCGGGUGUGAAAGCCCUCAGCUCAACUGAGGAAGUGCGCCCGAAACUGCAGAGCUUGAGUGCCGGAGAGGGGUGGCGGAAUUCCCCAAGUAGAGGUGAAAAUUCGUAGAUAUGGGGAGGAACACCGGGUGGCGAAGGCGGCCACCUGGACGGUAACUGGACGCUGAGACGCCGAAAGC
rnacentral:rRNA from 1 species